UACGGAGGGUGCAAGCGUUAAUCGGAAUCACUGGGCGUAAAGCGCUCGUAGGCGGUUUGGUCAGUCAGAUGUGAAAGCCCACGGCUUAACCGUGGAACUGCAUUUGAUACUGCCAGACUUGAGUGUCGGAGAGGGUGGCGGAAUUCCGGGUGUAGGAGUGAAAUCCGUAGAUAUCCGGAGGAACACCAGUGGCGAAGGCGGCCACCUGGACGACAACUGACGCUGAGGAGCGAAAGCGUGGGGAGCAAACAGG
rnacentral:rRNA from 1 species